GCUGGCGGCAGGCCUAAUACAUGCAAGUCGAACGGCAGCACAGCAGAGCUUGCUCUGUGGGUGGCGAGUGGCGGACGGGUGAGGAAUACAUGGGAAUCUGCCCAGUCGUGGGGGAUAACGUAUGGAAACGUACGCUAAUACCGCAUGCGCCCUUCGGGGGAAAGCCGGGGAUCUUCGGACCUGGCGCGAUUGGAUGAGCCCAUGUCGGAUUAGCUAGUUGGCGGGGUAAAAGCCCACCAAGGCUACGAUCCGUAGCUGGUCUGAGAGGAUGAUCAGCCACACUGGAACUGAGAUACGGUCCAGACUCCUACGGGAGGCCGCAGUAGGGAAUAUUGGACAAUGGGCGCAAGCCUGAUCCAGCCAUGCCGCGUGUGUGAAGAAGGCCUUCGGGUUGUAAAGCACUUUUAUCCGGAAAGAAAAGCGCUGGGUUAAUACCCUGGUGUUCUGACGGUACCGGAAGAAUAAGCACCGGCUAACUUCGUGCCAGCAGCCGCGGUAAUACGAAGGGUGCAAGCGUUACUCGGAAUUACUGGGCGUAAAGCGUGCGUAGGUGGUUUGUUAAGUCUGAUGUGAAAGCCCUGGGGCUCAACCCUGGGGAU
rnacentral:rRNA from 1 species